rnacentral:tRNA from 1 species
UUCUGAUAAUCUGGAUAGAACUUAUGUUUCGGCCAUAGGGUUGUAAUAUUGUUAUUGCUAUCAGUAA